rnacentral:rRNA from 1 species
AGUGAACGCUGGCGGCAGGCCUAACACAUGCAAGUCGAGCGGCAGCGCGUCCGACCACCCUCGGGUGGUCGGAUGGGCGGCGAGCGGCGGACGGGUGAGGAAUGCAUCGGAAUCUGCCUCGCUGUGGGGGAUAACGUAGGGAAACUUACGCUAAUACCGCAUACGACCUACGGGUGAAAGUGGGGGACCUUCGGGCCUCACGCGAUGAGAUAAGNGCCGAUGCCGGAUUAGCUAGUUGGCGGGGUAAAGGCCCACCAAGGCGACGAUCCGUAGCUGGUCUGAGAGGAUGAUCAGCCACACUGGAACUGAGACACGGUCCAGACUCCUACGGGAGGGCAGCAGUGGGGAAUAUUGGACAAUGGGGGCAACCCUGAUCCAGCCAUGCCGCGUGUGUGAAGAAGGCCUCGGUUGUAAGCGACUUUGUUGGGUAGAAACGGACCGGGUUAAGUACCUACGGUUGUAAGUGACGGUACCCGAAACGAA